AUGGUGGCCAAGCCUUUAGCUCUUGCCUUUUCUCUUUGCUUGCUCGUUCUCUUCCAAGGCUGCUUAGCCAGUCGGCAACAAUCUCAGUUCAGCCAGCAAAAUGUGUGCAUGCUGAACCAGAUCCAAGCCCGCGAGCCUGACAACCGUAUUGAGACUGAAGCAGGUCGCAUCGAGUCUUGGGAUCACAACCAGGAUGACUUCUAGUGCGCUGGUGUUGCUGUUCAAAGAAUCACCAUUGAGCGUAAUGGCCUUCACUUGCCUUCCUACACUAACACACCAAGGCUUGUUUACGUUGUACAAGGUAGGGGUCAUCUAGGGAUGGUAUUCCCUGGCUGUCCGGAGACAUUUGAGGAGUCUGAGCAAUCUGUUGAAGAACAACAGCAACAACAAUGGCAAGGCCAACAAGGCGGAGGCCACCGCCAGCGACACGGACGUCGACAAGGGCAAUUCGGAGAGCAAGGCCAACAAGAGUUUGAACAGCUAGACCGACACCAGAGGGUGCGACGCAUCAAGGAAGGUGAUGUUAUCGCAAUCCCCGCCGGAGCCACAACCUGGACUCACAACGAUGGUGAUCAAUCUCUUGUUUUUGUUACUCUUCUAGACAUCGGCAACAACCACAACCAGCUUGACCAAAACCCAAGGCGAUUCUAUCUUGCUGGUAACCCGCAUGCAAGAUGAGUUCAACCAACAAGGCCAAAGCCAAUGGUGGAAACAAGGACAACAAGGCCAAAGCCAACGGGGACAGCAAGGCCGACAACAAGGAAGGAGCAGGCGCCAACAGCAGGGUAACAACAACAACAAUGUCUUUGCCGGCUUCGACACCCAGCUCCUCGCCGAUGCUCUCAACAUUGACCAACAGACUGUCCAGCAGCUCCAGGGACAGAAUGACAACAGGCCACAAAUUGUUAGGGUUGAGGGACGUUUCGACUUUGUCGAGCCACCAGAGUCACAGAGGGAGGAAAGACAACUGCAAGGACAACAGGGCCGCCAGAAUGGCUUUGAGGAGGUAUUCUGCCACAUGCAGAUCAAGCAGAACAUCGGCAAGCCUUCCAUGGCUGACGUCUUCAGCCCACAAGCCGGUCGCAUCAGCACCCUCAACAGCUUCAGCAUGCCUAUUCUCAGGCACCUCCGUCUCAGCGCUGAGAGAGGUUUCUUCUACAACAAUGCUAUCCACAGCCCCCGCUGGAACUUGAAUGCUCAUGAGAUCAUCUAUGUCAUCAGAGGUAGCGCCAGGGUUCAGGUGGUGAACGACAACGGUGAGACCAUCUUGGACGACCAGGUCCGCCAGGGACAACUCUUCAUCGUGCCGCAAAACCACGCCGUGUUGCAAAAAGCCCAGAGCAACGGGUACGAGUACAUUGCCUUCAAGACCAAUGACAAUGCCAUGGUCAACACUCUAGCUGGCAGGACCUCCGUCUUGCGAUCACUCCCCGACGUGGUCCUCGCCAACGCCUACCAGAUGGACCGCGAGCAGGCAAGGACCUCAAGUAUAACAGGCAGGAGACUCUUGCUUUGAGCUCAUCAAGGUCCUCACAGUUCUAGAGAUACUGAUGGGAGCAAAUGAAAAAUUUAGCGGCAUGUAGUGUUAAUGUGGUACUUGCUAAGCUAAGAGGUAGAUAAUCAAUAAAAGUAGCCUUUUAUAUGGGUCUCGUGGUACUAGGAGAGAGAUCUAAUGCCACAAGUUAAUAAAUAGCUACUCUACUUGUAGUCUCAAACACUCUUUUCUAAUGAAAUCUCUUUCUUCUUCCUUUGAUUCGCGUUACACUUUUUUCUAAUGAAAUCUCUUUCUUCUUCCUUUGA